rnacentral:lncRNA from 1 species
GGCUCUGUGGCAGGGAGUGGGAGGGUGAUUAACAGGGGAAGAAUUAGGAAAGAGGACACGCAAGACCACAGUAAGAGAUGGAAAUAAGAGAAUAUUCCUGAUUUCCACUGGAUGACUUUGACUGGUAUGAUUUCAUUCUCUGAAAGUGUUAACCAGGGUGCAGCAUGGCCAGAAACCAUUCCGAGCCUCAUGAAGUGGGCAAGUCAGGUUUGGUCAUUUUUGGUAAUGUCAUUGCAUGUACACAGUUUAAGACAGAGCAUCUGGUGAUUCUCGGACCUUCAAGCAAGUGUCACAUCUCAGGUGAACCUUGGCAGUUUUAAGAUGAACAAAGUAAUCAAAGCAAAAAUGUCAAAUAAUAAUAAUAAUAAUGAUAUCAGAAGAAUGUCCAGUGCCAUGGUUGGAUUCCCAGAAGGCAGCAUCUGCUCAUGCCAUCAACAACAUGGUGCCAUUUCAGUCAUCCUCUUUUUGUCCCAAAGACAGAAAAAAAAUAGAAAAAAGAAAGAGAAAAAGACACCACGAACCGUCUAUCCUCCUGGUAAUACAAAUACACCUGUAAAUAAACAUGUCAAUGUCUACACACAACGCACAUUUAUGCAGAAUCCAUCCUCUCGGUGCUUCCGUAGUUAUCAAGUAAAAGUCCUUCUAAGCCUAAGAAAUGAUAGUAUUAAUUCAGUCUUGGGGUGUGGGGGGAAAGGUGGACUAUCAUCAAAUAAAAAAGGCGAGGCUAAUUAAGUGACAUCCACUGGGGACUGGGAAAAGAAGAGACUUCUUGUGGGAAAGUAAUUAUAUCUUCAUUGACCCUCCUGGGGUACCCCCAGUGGCAGGGACUCUGCCUCGCGGUGUGACAUCUCCUUUCGGGAUGAGCAGCCAGUCACCUCGAGAAGCCCCCUUCUCCAUGGAUGCGUUUUCUAAUCAUUUCACAUGAUUGAGCCUCCAGCAAGUGAUGCUUUACUUAAUUCCUUUCCGCCUGUAGGGUGUGAGGUUUGGAGGGCCUCUCGUCAAAACUUUGGAGGGCUCUGUCAGUUUGAAAAGAACAUGACCUUUAAAUUGUAUCAGUAUGUUUGCUGGUGCAUAAGGGAGAGGAAAAGGUUCGUCCUGAUGGAAAACCACUCAGAAGCCAAGGAGUAAUUCAGAGGGAACCAGCCCAGGAAGAAUCAAGAAAGCUGCCCACAGUGUCAUUCUUCAGCUGAGAAAAGAGAGAGUUGACUAACUCCUCGGACUGGAGUGAGGACUCACAGAGGUGGUGAGAAGCCAUCCUCUCUUGAAUGGGGGCUCCCACUGUACAUCUGGCACCCACUUCACAGAUUCUGGGGGAUGUCAACACCAGCACUGCUGAGCUGUGUGACCUUGAGCAAGACAGUUAGCCUCUCUGAACCUCAGUGUCCUUCUCUGUAGGCUGGAGAUUGAUAUACCUUCAUUAUCGGGGUAUGAGAGUGUUAUAAGGUGGGAUGGUGGAACACGCUGACUGGUCUGGGCUAUUCAAGAUCCAUGAACUGGAAGAUGCUUUCUUAUAACUCAGAGAAAAGAGAUGAAAAUGAAUCAAAGAACAGGAAGGAGACAAGCUCAGGAGGGUAAGACUCCUGGGAAUUUGGAAGCUGAGACUUGAGGCAAGUAUUUAGGAUUUGCUGUCUCACCUCCCUGCUAUGACAGUCCUUAAUUAAUGGAGAUGAUGGAGAACAGCUUGCUGGGCUGAGUGGCAGGAGCCAUGCAGCUGCUGGGGCUGGAGUGGGUCAGGAAGCUUCAUCAAUCUGGGACACAUGACGUGCUUGGUGGUGGCGGAGCCUGACGCAUCCCUCUUCAUCGACAUUGUGUCAAUAGGAGCAGAGGCAUUUAGCUGUGUAAACACAGAGCUUCAGUGGCAGCACCCUAAAUGCUUAGCUGAUAGAUCCGGAAUUAAAUACAGACCUAGAAACUGGAGUUGGAAAACUUCCUGGCAGCACUCCUUCCCUGCCAUCCCGGUGAUCCCCUUCUGGAUGGAGGGUGUGGAGCUCAGCACAUUCACGUCUGCAGUUCUCAGAGAACCAAGUGUUAAGGAAUGUCAGGGAAGGAAGAAGGCAGCCAGCCAGGAAGGGGAGGUCCUGGCCUGAGCACGCCAGGCACAGAGGGAUAGAGGGUAGGGAGGAAACUGCACCUGUCUCCAACCCUCGACCCCAGCCCCGAAACACGACAUUGGCUGAAACAGAUUAAAAGCAUAAAAUGGCCCAAAGAAAUGGGAGAAGGUUGGCCUCUGGUCGGGCAAACAUGAGGGCAUGAAGAUAUAUAAUGUCCCACACGGGAGGAAACCCUUGCCGGGCCCCUCAGGAUUUAUAACAAGCUCACCUGAAGGAGAAACUUCAGGGGCACUUACACCAUCAGAUACCUAGAAAGGAGCUGUCAUUUCCUCACUGAAGAGUUUGCAAGCAGAUGGUAAAAGGGGUUUAAUUUGAAAACACUGAAACAUCGUGUUCGCUCAAAACCAUGACAAUUGCAGUUUUAUUGUCUCCACUCAGGAAAAUGUGUGUCUGGAUCAUCUUGUGGCCCGAAUGGGGAGAAAAGCAGCACAAGAAUGGAAUAGUACAGUGGCUACGAACACAGAAACCACACUCCAGGCCCAGUCCCCGGCAGUGGCCUCCAGGACCCACUCUGAGCUAGAUCACAUCAGUGAUGGGCUGGCCAAUCUUUAAGGAGAAUGACUCUACUCUUAGGAAGCCAGCAGGUUGGAGGAGGAAACACAUUCAAAUCCCGAGCACAAGGAGCUGGGAGAAGACCGGUUAUGGGAGCGGCAUUCCUGGAAGCUCUGAAGUCACAGCCCCACUGAUGAAAGGAUGUAAGAACCUAAGAGUGGAAACCUGCCCCUGGGAUUCAUAUGGUGUCCCCUCAGGACUCAAACCCUGGUCUGGUAUGCUCAGUAAAUGAAUGAAUAUACCCACUACACCCCAGGUUAUUUUUUUUCUGAAGACAUCGUUUGACACAGAGGGAACACUGUAGAUAAGAAGCCCAACCCUGUUAGAAAGCAGAAGGGUUUGUUUGGGAAAAGGAAACAAAAUAUAUUUUUAAGCUCCAUAAACAUAUGAUGAAUGCUAACAAGGUAUUUUCAAAAUAAGAAGCACAUAGAAACAGCUUAUGUUUCUGGUCAAAUGAAGUUGUAAUCAAAUCGUUAUCAAAGCAAAAAAAAAGAGAGGAAGAAAUCAAAAUGAGUCAGAAGAGUUUUUGGAAAGAUUCAGCAACUUAACUGACUUGAAGAGAUUUCCCUUGUCUCAGUCUUACUGCUGCUUCUAGGGGAACACAGUUUUGCACGGGAAUCGAGGCCAACUUGCAACCCACAGGCACUCUGGAGGAACAAAGAAAGUAUCGCCUGCAACUCACCACGGUCUCUCUCUCUUAAGCCCUUGCUCUUGCCAGAAGAAGUUUCACACAAAGGUUUGCCUGCGAGGCUGCGCUUUCCUCUCCAGAUCAGCAGAAACAACUUACCAGCAGAAAUACUUAAUGACGGAGCCAAGACUGGCACAGCCACGCGGUCACAGCUUUGUUCCCAAGAAGCAAGCCAAUUAGCAGCCCUGGUUAUUAUUUACAUUUCCCGCAAUAUAUCACUAAAAUUGUGUUGAUGAUUUAUCAUUUAUAUUAUGUUAUUGUCAGCAUAAUUUAUUCAGAUCAUGCUGAGAUACCUGGAAAAUUAAGUAAAAGAAAAAGAAGUGGCAUUGAAUUCAUCGGGUUUGAAAGAUAUUUCUCAGCUUCUUUUUUCUCUCCCUCUCUUUCUCUCUCUCUCUCUCUUUUAAUGAGGAUAGAUGUUAAGAAAAAUCAUGGAUCACUUAGCUAUUAAAUUGUUCCAGGAUCAUCUGCAUUAAAAGUUUGCUCAGUAUUCUUUUGUGAGAGAACAUGGCUUGGGCGUUCAUUUGGAUUUUCUUCUGGAACCUUUUCUUUCAGUCUAUUAUUUCAAAGUAAAAAAAAAAGGAAAUGCAAUCCUCUUUAGUUUAGAGCAAAGCAGAGUGGAUUAAUGAGGGGCUGGAGGCUUCUCUUCCAAUUUAUAAAACAUCCUUAUCUUCUGCCUUAUAUUCUAUUUGCCCCACCCUCUGGGAAAUAAUUGUUGCUUAUCAGAAUUAGAGAUAAAAUAUUCCAGUUGUUGAAGCCAUUCAUCAUCUAGGCAUUCUAGAAAAGCAGUUACUGAACUAGAGGCAGCAUUUUGAGCAUCAGAGCUCUGGGUUCUAGUCCCAGGUCUGUCCAGGCUUUGUGUGAUUCCAGGAGUCACUGAAGCUAUCCUGCUUCUGUUUCCCCAGCAGUGGGAUUCAUGGAUGUCCAGGAUCAGGCUUGCUGGGUCUGCCCCAGGUCUUCAGAAUCAGACUGCCUGGGGAAGGCACAUGGAGGUCUUUUUGACAGGUGUCAUAGGUGAUACUUCUACACACUUCAGUUAGAAAAGUCAUUGGGCUUACAUAUGCCUGCAGCCACUUCCAGCUCCAGUCUUCCUAGAGUUCUACGGACUCUAAUUAUAUGGCAUGUUUUGCAUAUUUCUGAAACUUCAUAUGGGAAACAAACUUUUGGAAAUUGAUUCAUUUAAGAAUCUGUGGCCAGGCGUGGUGGCUCACGACUGUAAUCCCAGCACUUUGGGAGGCUGA